UUAAAGAAACAAAUCCUCUUAUUUAUGGAGAAGUGCAACAGUGAAUGACAUUUCGGAUAUGAUGAAGGUGGGUGGAGCCCACACGCCCAUAAAUAAGGACGAAA